AGAGUUUGAUCCUGGCUCAGGACGAACGCUGGCGGCGUGCCUAAUACAUGCAAGUCGAACGAAGCUUUCUUUCACCGAAUGCUUGCAUUCACCGAAAGAAGCUUAGUGGCGAACGGGUGAGUAACACGUAGGCAACCUGCCCAAAAGAGGGGGAUAACACUUGGAAACAGGUGCUAAUACCGCAUAACCAUGAACACCGCAUGAUGUUCGUGUAAAAGACGGCUUUUGCUGUCACUUUUGGAUGGGCCUGCGGCGUAUUAACUUGUUGGUGGGGUAGCGGCCUACCAAGGUGAUGAUACGUAGCCGAACUGAGAGGUUGAUCGGCCACAUUGGGACUGAGACACGGCCCAAACUCCUACGGGAGGCAGCAGUAGGGAAUCUUCCACAAUGGACGAAAGUCUGAUGGAGCAACGCCGCGUGAAUGAAGAAGGCCUUCGGGUCGUAAAAUUCUGUUGUCAGAGAAGAAUGUGCGUGAGAGUAACUGUUCACGUAUUGACGGUAUCUGACCAGAAAGCCACGGCUAACUACGUGCCAGCAGCCGCGGUAAUACGUAGGUGGCAAGCGUUGUCCAGAUUUAUUGGGCGUAAAGGGAACGCAGGCGGUCUUUUAAGUCUGAUGUGAAAGCCUUCGGCUUAACCGAAGUAGUGCAUUGGAAACUGGAAGACUUGAGUGCAGAAGAGGAGAGUGGAACUCCAUGUGUAGCGGUGAAAUGCGUAGAUAUAUGGAAGAACACCAGUGGCGAAAGCGGCUCUCUGGUCUGUAACUGACGCUGAGGCUCGAAAGCGUGGGUAGCAAACAGGAUUAGAUACCCUGGUAGUCCACGCCGUAAACGAUGAGUGCUAAGUGUUGGAGGGUUUCCGCCCUUCAGUGCUGCAGCUAACGCAUUAAGCACUCCGCCUGGGGAGUACGGUCGCAAGACUGAGACUCAAAGGAAUUGACGGGGGCCCGCACAAGCGGUGGAGCAUGUGGUUUAAUUCGAAGCAACGCGAAGAACCUUACCAGGUCUUGACAUCUUCUGACAAUUCCAGAGAUGGAACGUUCCCUUCGGGGACAGAAUGACAGGUGGUGCAUGGUUGUCGUCAGCUCGUGUCGUGAGAUGUUGGGUUAAGUCCCGCAACGAGCGCAACCCUUAUUGUCAGUUGCCAUCAUUAAGUUGGGCACUCUGGCGAGACUGCCGGUGACAAACCGGAGGAAGGUGGGGAUGACGUCAAAUCAUCAUGCCCCUUAUGACCUGGGCUACACACGUGCUACAAUGGACGGUACAACGAGUCGCUAACUCGCGAGGGCAAGCUAAUCUCUUAAAGCCGUUCUCAGUUCGGAUUGCAGGCUGCAACUCGCCUGCAUGAAGUCGGAAUCGCUAGUAAUCGCGAAUCAGCAUGUCGCGGUGAAUACGUUCCCGGGCCUUGUACACACCGCCCGUCACACCAUGAGAGUUUGUAACACCCAAAGUCGGUGGGGUAACCUUUUGGAGCCAGCCGCCUAAGGUGGGACAGAUGAUUGGGGUGAAGUCGGAACAAGGUA
rnacentral:rRNA from 1 species